rnacentral:rRNA from 1 species
GAUGAACGCUGGCGGCGUGCUUCACACAUGCAAGUCGAACGGUGAACGAGGGAGCUUGCUCCCUCCGGAUCAGUGGCGAACGGGUGAGUAACACGUGAGCAAUCUGCCCCGAACUCUGGGAUAAGAGCUGGAAACGGCGUCUAAUACCGGAUACGACGCGCGAAGGCAUCUUCUGCGCGUGGAGAGAAUUUCGGUUCGGGAUGAGCUCGCGGCCUAUCAGCUAGUUGGUGAGGUAACGGCUCACCAAGGCGACGACGGGUAGCCGGCCUGAGAGGGUGACCGGCCACACUGGGACUGAGACACGGCCCAGACUCCUACGGGAGGCAGCAGUGGGGAAUAUUGCACAAUGGGCGCAAGCCUGAUGCAGCAACGCCGCGUGAGGGACGACGGCCUUCGGGUUGUAAACCUCUUUUAGUAGGGAAGAAGCGAGAGUGACGGUACCUGCAGAAAAAGCACCGGCUAACUACGUGCCAGCCGCCGCUGUAACAC